GUUUUUGUUUAUUUUUUUAGGUGUAGAUGGACACAACACAAUGCCUUUAUUUUUUUAUGUGGUGCUGAGGAUAGAACCUGAGUCCUGCCUGUGUAGGGCGAGUACUCUACCGCUGAGCCACAAUCCCAGCCCUGGACAUGAAUGUUUGUAGCAGCUUUACUCAUAAUAGUGUUGAACUGGAAGCAACCUGGAUAUCUUUCAAUGACUGAACAGUUGGGUUCAGUGCAAUGUGUCCAGGCCAUGAACUUCUACUCAGAAGAGAAAGGGACAAACUGCUGGUAUCCUCAACACUUGGAUGAAUCUCCAGAGAAUUAUGUCCAGUGAAAAAGCCAACUCCAACUGGUACACACAGUAUGAUUCCGUUUAUAAAACUGUCUGGAAAUGAUAAAAUUACAAAAAUGGAGAACAGUCUCAUAAUUGCCAAGGGUUAGGUCUGGGGAGAGGAGAUCGCGGGGGAAGGCAUGGCAUUCUGGAUAGAAUACCACACAACUUGCCCACUGUUUCCAGAAGCCAAUCUCUCAGCCUCCUGCCAUGAUGUUAAAGGAUUUCUCUGAAGAAACUGACUAAGCCAAGGACAAAGACCCACAGAUAAUGUCAUCUGGGAGACCUGUAAUGGCUUAAAUGUCCGCCCAAAGCUCUGUGUGCUAAAGGUUUGAUCACCAGCCUGUGGUGUUCUGGGAAGAAGUAGAAUAUUUAGGAGAUAGGGCCUAGUGGGAAGUUAGGUCACGUGGGUCACGUCCUUGAAAGGGACAUUGUGACUUUGGCCCCUUUCUCUUUCUUUUUGCUUCCUGGCUGCCAUGAGGUGAACAGACCCUCUCCAUCACAGACUCCUGCCAUGAUAUAUUGUGCUGCCACAGGCGCAAAGUGACAGGGCCAAGCCACCAUGGACUGAGAUCUCUGAAACCAUGAGCUAAAAUAAAUACUUCCUCUUUAAAGUUGAUUAUCUCAGGAUUUUGGUCACCAUGACAUAAAGCUGAUUAACACACUUCCAGAUAAACCAUCACUCUCCAGGGAGGCCCACAGUCAACAAACCGGUACCACACUAAGAAAGCUCUUCCAGUUGGGCUCGCAAGUGCUUCACUCUCCAAUAUGAACAGUCAGAAAAGGGUCAGCAGGUCUUUGAGGAACGUUUCUACCUGACAGUUAUAUAAUGGGUGAAAGCCAAGAAGGAAGAGAUGCAAUGUGGGGAGAAAUUAAAGAAAAAGAAAAAGCAUGUAAU
rnacentral:lncRNA from 1 species